GACGAACGCUGGCGGCGUGCUUAACACAUGCAAGUCGAACGCUGAAGCUCAGCUUGCUGGGUGGAUGAGUGGCGAACGGGUGGGUAACACGUGAGUAACCUGCCCUCUUCUUUGGGAUAACGCCCGGAAACGGGUGCUAAUACUGGAUAUUCACUGAUUCUCGCAUGGGGGUUGGUGGAAAGGUUUUUUCUGGUGGGGGAUGGGCUCGCGGCCUAUCAGCUUGUUGGUGGGGUGAUGGCCUACCAAGGCUUUGACGGGUAGCCGGCCUGAGAGGGUGACCGGUCACAUUGGGACUGAGAUACGGCCCAGACUCCUACGGGAGGCAGCAGUGGGGAAUAUUGCACAAUGGGCGAAAGCCUGAUGCAGCGACGCCGCGUGAGGGAUGGAGGCCUUCGGGUUGGAAACCUCUUUCGCUCAUGGUCAAGCCGCAGCGUUGGGUUGUGGUGAGGGUAGUGGGUAAAGAAGCGCCGGCUAACUACGUG
rnacentral:rRNA from 1 species